rnacentral:rRNA from 1 species
CUACGGGUCGCACCAGUGGGGAAUAUUGGACAAUGGGGGAAACCCUGAUCCAGCAAUGCCGCGUGUGUGAAGAAGGCCUGCGGGUUGUAAAGCACUUUCGGUUGGGAGGACUGCUUCUAGCACUAAUAUUGUUGGAAGUUGACGUUACCUUCAGAAGAAGCACCGGCUAACUCCGUGCCAGCAGCCGCGGUGAAUACGGAGGGUGCAAGCGUUAAUCGGAAUUACUGGGCGUAAAGCGCGCGUAGGCGGCUAGAUCAGUCGGGUGUGAAAGCCCCGGGCUUAACCUGGGAACUGCAUCCGAUACUGUCUAGCUCGAGUACAGGAGAGGAGAGUGGAAUUCCACAUGUAGCGGUGAAAUGCGUAGAUAUGUGGAGGAACACCAAUGGCGAAGGCAGCUCUCUGGCCUGAUACUGACGCUGAGGUGCGAAAGCGUGGGGAGCAAACAGGAUUAGAUACCCUUGUAGUC